AGGUUUUGGAGUUUCAAUACCAAGUAAAUUGAUUAAAAUCAACAAAUACACUUUUUAGAGAUUUUUGUGUUUUGAGUGCAGUACAUACGAAACAAUAAGAAUCUUCCAAUUCAUAUUUCGUUCGCUGAAACUACAUCUUCAUUGUUUAUUUUCUCCAGAUAAAAAUGGCUAUAUUCACUUUCCUUCUUCCGAUUAUUUGCUUGGUGAGUCUUUUUUCUGGCGUCAAAGCAUUGCCGGCAAAUAAAGAAACAAAAAAGAAUUUUGAGUCCGAAGAAUUUACAAUAGAUCCACUGGAGGAGAACAGCAGUCCCUCAACCGCAUCUUCUGUCUCACAAAAAUUAUUAAAUACAUUUUCCAGUCAGAGAACAACAGACGUAAUUGUGAAUAGACAUAAACGCUCGACGGACCAAUACAGUACGUCAACGACGACUCAAAGUCUUGGAAUUGUCUACAAACCUUGGUUGUUUAGUAAAUAAAAUUAUAUAUAUAUAAAAUUAAUGACGGCUAUAAAAAUGAUACUCAUUUAAAAAUUUUAUUAGCUUUAAAAAUCAUAAACAAUUUAUAUUCCUAGUUAAAAAAUUCGUUUUCUUCUUAGACACUUAUUUUAAAAUUGAAUGAUAUAUUUUCCAAAUAUUAUUUGCAGAAUCUUUAUGUUGUGAGUUAGUAGGGGACUGAACAGAUACGUCGUAGAGUGGGAUAUAAAAUGUGUUAAUGUGAGCGCAAACGGUUCUUGACAAUGCAAAGAUAACAAUUCUAAAGAUAUUUAAUGCUAUCACGCAAGAAAAUCAGCGAGAUCCAAGAAAUUGAAAAAAAUUAAUGGUCAAGUGAAUUCACAAAAUAGUAUAAUUUGUACUUUCUCUGUCCAGGCCGCUAAAAUACCUACCACCAACAAAAACCUACUUUAUUGCUUCAAAUCCUGCCACAAAGCGAGGAAAUAAGCUUCGUGUUAUAUUGAAGUAUAUUUUUCACCAAGGCAACGAAGUAGUCUUUUUACGGCCAAACGUGAGUUUUUUCAAACACGCAAGAUCGUAAAAAGACUUUGCUGCUUCGGUAUAUACAAUAUUUUAUGUAAUAAGAGUAUGGUUUCUGAGUUUCAUAAUGAAAUUACGUCUCAGGUUUGAGGUUAGUUUAGAGGGACAAGUACCAAACAAAACAGUGCGCGUAGGUCGAAGUAAUGAACGCCAUUGCGCGCGUAUCUUCCUCUGACAAAAAAGUGCACUUUAUCGGCCUAGGCCGUUAUAGUUCUCCACCACUAACAAUUACCUACUUCGUGCCUCAAACCACGUCUAGAAAGCGAGCAAAAUAUACUCGUGGUACAUCAAAAAUGUUUUAUCCCAUUUUACGAUGCGGUGGUUCUUGGUAAUUGGUCAUUAGUGUAAUUUUAUAGUAAUUUGCUUAUUAUAUUAUUUUUUAUUCAUUUAUUGUUGGAUUGGACCAAAUUGUCAUUGAACAAAAUUGAAUAAUUGAGAACCCUUCAAUUUGUUAUUGCUGUUAUUUUGCAUAUUAUAAUUAUAUAUAAAUUUAACUAUCAACAUAAUCAGUGAAAUUCUUUUUAUUUAUGUAUUUCAAUUGAGUACGAAACUCAAGGGCCAUUAUAUACCAUUUACAUUCGUUUAGCUAUACAUGUCAUACAUCCGUUUGUUUCAACCUCGAACGUUGCUCCCAAAUCACACAAAGCAAGAAGCAAAAUGGAUCAUCUCUAUUUGUUUAAUCUAUUAUAGCUGUUAGGUUUUGAAUAAAGUUUUUAUUAUCAUUUUAUAUAAUUUUUAUUAGUU